GAUCCAUUGGAAACAUAUUUGCUUCAUGUGUCCACCACUUCAUGCUUUGCUGCCUAGAGGUCUCAGUUCCAAAGGGAAGAAUGUUCCCACUAGGGAAUACACAAUAAUUCCACUGAAUUGGAAGCGGAACCUGCCGCCUAACCACUCUUGGCUCAACAGACAAAGGAGUUACUAUGUUGGCAGUGGUGAUUGAUCCUGAGUACCAAGGAGAAUUGGAUGGCCGCUCCUCAAUGCAGUAUGCUUGUGGAUGCCAACUGGACAAAGGGUGGACUUAUCAUGGUUAAUUUUGAGUCGACCUGGUUGAGCCACAGUGCCCAAGUAUCCUGGAUAUUUUCUGUGAUGAGAGUAUUUUGGAAUGAGAUUUACAUUUAUAUCAGUUGCCUUUGAGAAAAGCAGAUUGCCAUUCAUGAUGGAGACCUCAAGAGAACAAAAGACUGAGCUCCCUUUAGCAAGAGGGAGACUGCCUUUGGACUUCACCUGCAACUUCAGCUGUCUCCUCCUUCAUCUCCAGCCUGAAGACCUUUGGACUUGAACUGUAACAUCAGCCUCAGGAAGCAAGAGAAAGUAGCCUCAACUGGAAUGGCCACAUUUGAGUUCUAUGCUUUCAGCUCCCUACUGUGAGAGAUACUGGUUAAGAGGUAUCAAGGCCCUUCUGCAGGAAAAACACUUGGUCUGAGGCCUGCCUUUGGUCAUGAAGAUCACCUCUGAUUGGACAAAGAACCCACUGAUUAAGUCCUGACCAGUCAUAUUUAAAAGGAAAAACUGAGCUCUCUAAUACUUUUGCAAAUUUUCUUUCAACUCUGCAAAAUCCCGUUCAUCUCAUAACAGGACAUGGGCUCAGGGCCAGGGAAAGUGAUGAGCGCUUCA